AUUGAACGCUGGCGGCAUGCCUUACACAUGCAAGUCGAACGGCAGCGGGGACUUCGGUCCGCCGGCGAGUGGCGAACGGGUGAGUAAUGUAUCGGAACGUACCAUUGAGUGGGGGAUAACGUAGCGAAAGUUACGCUAAUACCGCAUAUUCUCUCCGGAGGAAAGCAGGGGACCGCAAGGCCUUGCGCUCUUUGAGCGGCCGAUAUCAGAUUAGCUAGUUGGUGAGGUAAAGGCUCACCAAGGCGACGAUCUGUAGCGGGUCUGAGAGGAUGGUCCGCCACACUGGAACUGAGAAACGGUCCAGACUCCUACGGGAGGCAGCAGUGGGGAAUUUUGGACAAUGGGGGCAACCCUGAUCCAGCCAUGCCGCGUGAGUGAAGAAGGCCUUCGGGUUGUAAAGCUCUUUCGGCCGGGAAAAAAUCGCAUGGGCUAAUAUCCUGUGUGGAUGUUGGUACCGGAAUAAGAAGCACCGGCUAACUACGUGCCAGCAGCCGCUGUAACAC
rnacentral:rRNA from 1 species